rnacentral:lncRNA from 1 species
UCAAGAACCAGGGACGAAGACCCUACACGGGUACCAUAUGCUGCCAUCUUUAAAAAUCCUCGGACCCAGGGAGAGAGAUAAGUGUUGCUGUGAGUAGAUGGAUCCUUCGGCCUUCCUACUUCACUAUUUUCACUGAUUGCACUCUGUUUGAGAUUUGUUCUACACUCCAGUAUACGAUCUAUCUUGGCAAGUGUUCCACGAGCUUGGGGGAAAAAUGUAUUCUCCAGAGUUUGACUCUUUUCAUCGAGAAUAAUCUGGCGCCCAAACACAUGGAGCCUCAGAGAAGAAUCAGGACCCCAGAGGAGUUGCUUGAAAUGGGAGCUAAGGUACUAGCAGGGGCCCAAUGAAGGCCAACCGAGUUCAAGCUUCUCCUCCAGUGAAAAUGGUCUUACAGAUGCAACUCCCUGCUGGGAACCCAAACCCGUUUCACCAGAAAAGUGAAAGCAUAAGGAAGGAAAUGGGCAUCUGCAAAGAAUCCAAGCAAGAGAAGGAGCAACCGGCUUGUGAACUCACUCCCUUAAGACAGCAUUAAUGUAUUCAAGGGGAUCUGCCCUGUGAUCCAAACACCGCCUACUAGGUCUCACUUCCCAACACUGCCACAUUGGGAAUCAAAUUUCAACAUGCGUUUUGUCAGCGACAAAUCACUUCCAAGCCAUAGCAACCACGUACCCACAAAUAAGAGUCGUAAUCUAUUAGGGUUUUUCUUAAGUUGAUCAUUUUUUCUGUAUAUAAAGUGACACAUUUCAGAAUAAAUUAGUAUGAUUUAAUCCUGUCUCAGUGACUAUUCUUUCUUUUAUCAAAAUGGUUUAUUAUGAUAAAUGUAGUGGUCAUAUUUCAAAUGCAUUGUUUACCUUUGCAUACACUGUAUAUAUAGAAUCCUCAAAAACAUAUGGUAUUAUGAAAUUUUUAUAUUUGCAUGUGCAAUAUCAUAUAACAUUAUUAUACAGUGUGCUUUUACCACUCAAAAUUAUGUUUCUGAGUUCUACAUCUAUCUAUAUCUAUGUAUGUAAAGAUUGACCUAUAUGUGAUAUUGUUCUACAAAUAGAAUUUUUCUAUUUUCAGUAAUUUAUUAUUAUGAACAUCAUGCUAUAAACAUUCAUAUGCCUUUCUACUUCUAUAAAGUUGCAAGAACUUCUCUGUCAUUUACUCAGAAGUAGUGUUUCUGGUCUUUAUAGUAACUUUUAUUUUUUAUUUAUUUUUUUAUUUCCAUAGUUUUGGGGGUACAGGUGGUUUUUGGUUACAUGGAUGAGUUCUACAGUGGUGAAUUCUGAGAUUUUAAUGAACCCAUCACCCAAGCAGUGUACACUGUACCAAAUAUGUAAUCUUUUAUUUCUCACUCCCCUCUCAACCUCUGACCUUGAGGCCCCAAAGUCCAUUAUAUAAUUCUGUGUGUCUUGGACUCAUCAAAGCUUAGCUUCCACUUAUAAAUGAGAACAUAUGGUAUUUGGUUUUCCACUCCUGAGUUACUUCACUUCAAAUAAUGGCCCCAGCUCCAUUCAACUUGCAGCAAAUAUUUCAUUCCUUUUUAUGGCUGAGUAGUAUUCCAUGGUGUAUAUACACUACAUUUUCUUUAUUGAUCACUCAUUGGUCAGUGGGCACUUAGGUUGAUUCCAUAUCUUUGCAAUUGCUAAUUGUGCUGCUAUAAACGUGUGUGCAUGUGUUCUUUUCAUACAAUGACUUCUUUUCCUUUGGAUAGAUACCCAGUAUUGAGAUUUCUAGAUCAAAUGAAAGUUCUACUUUUAGUUCUUUAAGGAAUCUCCAUACUGUUUUCCAUAGUGGUUGUACUCAUUUACAUUCCCACAAGAAGUAUAACAGUUCUUCCUUUUCGCCAAAUCCAACAAAUAUCUAUUGUUUUUGACUUUUCAACUGUGGUCAUUUUUGCAAGAUUAAGGUGAUAUUUCAUUGUGGUUUUAAUUUGUAUUUCCAUGAUAAUAAGUGAUGUUGAGCACACUAAUGUGUUUGUGUAUCUUUAUCUUCUUUGGAUAAAUGUUUGUAUAUCUUCUUUGGAGAAAUGCCUGUUCACAUCCUUUACCCACUUUUUGAUAGGAUUAUUUGCUUUUUUUCUUUUGAUUUGUUUGAGUUCCUUAUAGAUUCUGGAUACUAGUCCUUUGUCAUAUGCAUAGUUUGCAAAUAUGUUCUCUCAUUCUGUGGGUUUUCUGUUUACUCUGCAUAGCAAAAUAAAUAUUUUUUUUCUAUGCAGCAGGUUUAUAGUUUAAUUACGUCCCAUUUAUUUAUUUUUGUUUGUGUUGAAUUUGCUUUUGGGGUCCUAGUCAUUAAUUAUUUGCCUAGGCCAAUGUUCCAAAGAGUUUUUUCAAAGUUAUCUUCUACAAUUUCUAUGGUUUCAGGUCUUAGAUUUAAGUCAUUGAUACACCUUCAGUUGAUUUUGUAUAAGGGAAAAGAUGAGGAUCCAGUUUAAUUCUUCCACUAGUGGCUUGCCAGUUACCCAGCCCCAUUUCUUAAAUAGGGUUUCUUUUCCCCCGUUUAUGUUUUUGUAUGCUUUGUUGAAGAACAGUUGGCUGUAAGUAUUUGGCUUUGUUUCUGGGUUCUCUUUUCUGUUCCAUUGGUCUAAGUGCCUGUUUUUACACCAGUGUAAUACUGUUUUGAUAACUGUAACUUUGUAGCAUAAUUUGAAUUCCAGUAAUGUCAUGCCUCAAGAUGUGUUAUUUUUGCUUAGAUUACUUUGGCUAUUGGGGCACUUUUUUAGUUCCAUAUGAAUAUUAGAAUUGUUUCUUCUACUUCUGUGAAAAAUGGUGAUAGGAUUUUGAUGGGAAUUGCAUUGAAUCUGUAGAUUUCUUUGGGGAUAGUGGUGAUUUUUGCAAUAUUAAUUCUUCCCAUCCAUAAGCAUGGGAUGUGUUUCCAUUUAUUUGUUUGUGCCAUCUAUGAUUUAUUUCAGUAGCGUUUUGCAGUUUUCCUUGUAGAGAACUUUCACUUCCUUGGAUAAGUAUAUUCCUAGGUAUUUGUGUUUUUUUGCAGCUUUUGUAAAGGCGAUUGAGUUCUUUAUUUGAUUAUCAGCUUGGUUGUUGUUGGUGUAUAGCAGUACUACUGAUUUGUGUACACUAAUUUUGUAACCUGAGACUUUAUUGAAUAUGUUUAUCAAAUCUAGGAGCUAUUUGGAUGAGUCUUUAGGGUUUUCUAGGUAUGUAAUCAUAUCAUCAAAGGACAGUGACAGUGUGACUUCCUCUUUUUUAAUUUUGAUGCCCUUUAUUUCUUUCUCUUGCAUUAUUUCUCUUCCAGUGCUAUGUUGAAUAGAAGUCAUGAAAGUGGGCAUCCUAUUCUUUUUCCAGUUUUCAGGGGGAAUGCUGUAAACUUUUAUUCAGUCAAUACGAUGUUGGCUGUGGAUUUGUUAUAUACAGUUUUUAGUACUUUGAGGUAAGUCCCUUCUAUGCCUACUUUGUUGAGAGCUUUUACCACAAAGGGAUACUGGAUUUUAUCUACUGCUGUUUCUGUGUCUAUUGAGAUAAUUAUAUGGUUUUUUGUUUUUAAUUUUGUUUAUAUGAUGUCUAGUUUCCUUUUUGUUAUGUCCUUUCCUGGUUUUGAUGUUAGGGUGAAACUGGCUUCAUAGAAUUCUUUAGGGAGAGUUCCUUAUUUCUGUAUCUUUUGGAAUAGUUUCAGUAGGCUUGCUACCAAUUCUUCCUUGAAUGUCUGGUAGACUUCAGCUGUGAAUCAACCUGGUUGUAGACAUUUUUUUUCCUUGGCAGUUUUUUUAUUACUGAUUCAAUCUCACUGCUUGUUAUUGUUCUGUUCAGGAUUUCUAUUUUUUCCUGGUUUAAUGUAGGAGGAUUAGAUGCUUCCAAGAAUUAAUUCAUUUCAUCUAGAUAUUCUAGUUUGUGCUUUUAAAGGUGUUCAUUGUAGCCUUGAAUAAUCUUUUGUAUUUCUGUGGCAUCAGUUGUAAUGUCUCUAGUUUCAUUUCUAAUUGAGCUUAUUUGAAUCUUAUCUCUUCUUUUCUUGGUUAAUCUCCCUAAAGGUCCAACACUUUCUUUUAUGUUUUCAACAAACCAGUUUUUUUGUGUGUCAUUUAUCUUUUGUAUUUUUCCAGUUUCCCUUUCAUUUAAUUCUGCUCUGAUCUUUGUGAUUUUUUUUUUUCUUCUCCUGGCUUUCAGUUUAAUUUGCUCCUGUUUCUGUAGUUCCUUGAAGCGUGACAAGAGGCUACCAUUUGUGCUGUUUCAGACUUUUGGAUAUAGGCAUUUAAUGCUAUAAAAUUUCCUCUUAGCGUUGCUUUUGCUGUAUCCUGGAGGAUUUGAUAACUUGUGUCACUAUUAUCGUUCAUUUCAAAGAAUUUUCUAAAUUACUAUCUUGAUUCCAUUGUUAAUCCAAAAAUCAUUCAAGAGCAGAUUAUUUAAUUUCCAUGUAUUUGUAUAAUUUUGAGGGUUCCUUUUGAAGUUGAGUUCCAGUUUUAUUUCCCUGUGGUCUGGGAAAGUACUUGAUAUAUCAAUUUCAAUUACCUUAAAUUUAUUAAAACUUAUUUUGUGGCCUAUAAUAUGGUCCUAUCUUGGAGAAUGUUCCAAGUGCCGAUGAGAAUGUAUAUUCUACAAUUCUUGGGAAGAAUUUCUGUAAAUAUCUGUUAAGUCCAUUUGUUCUAGGGUAUAAUUUAAGUCCAUUGGUUCUUUGUUGACUUUCUGUCUUUAUGAUCUGUCUAGUGCUGUCAAUGGAGUAUUAAAGUCCCCCACUAUUAUUUUUUUGCUGUCUGUCUCAUUUCUUUGGUCUAGUAAUAAUCUUAUUAAAAAUCUGGGAGCUUUAGUGUGAGGUGCAUAUAAAUUUAGGAUUGUAAUAUCUUCUUGUUGGACUGAUUCUUUUAUCAUUAUAUAAUACCCUUCUUUGUCUUUUUAUACUGCUAUUUCUUUAAAGUCUGUUUUGUCUGAUGUAAGCAUAGCUUCUCCUACUUAAUUUUUAUUUGUGUUUGUAUAGAAUAUCUUUUUCUAUUCUUUUGCCUUGAGUUUAUAGAAAUCCCUAUGUGUUAAGUGAGUCUCUUGAAGAAAGAGGAAAUUUGGUAUGUGAUUUUUAAAAAUCCAUUCUGCCAUUCUGUAUCUUUUAAGUGGAGUAUUUAGACCAUUUAUAUUCAAUGUUAAUAUUGAGAUGUGAGAUACUGUUAGAUUCAUCAUGUUAGUUGUUACCUACUUUGUGUUUUUUUUUCAUUGUGCUAUUAUUUUAUAGACCCUGUGAAUUUUAUACUUUUAGAAGGUUCUAUUUGGUUUAUAUUGAGUUUUUGUUUCAGGAUUUAGACUCAUUUUAACAUUUCUUGUAGAGUUGGUUUGGUAGGGGCAAAUUCCCUCAGCAUUUGUUUGUCUGAAAGAUCUUUCUUGCUGCUGCUUCAACUUUUAUAUUUCUCACUGCUCCCUCAAUCAGUUCUAGCCCUGGGUAGGGUUAAGGUCUUCUCCCUUGGCCUGAAUUCUUAGGUUCCCUGAUGGAAAUGUAUAUCCUAAAGGCAGUCUCUCUCCCUCUCACACUCUGAGGACUUAUAGAUUUUUGCCUGUCUCAUGGAGUAAGCUGCAGCCUGGCGCUGCCUUCAAAAGGUCUGUGGAUUCUUUUUUUUUUUUUUUUUUUCUGUUAAGUUCUUGCAUUGAAUCUUAUACUGUGAAUCUCUACACACUAUUUUGUCUGUCCAAGUGAGAGAGGCAUGCUAACACUGCCUGCAAUCUGCCAUCCUGGAAAAAAAACAAAACCAAAAGCUUUACAUUAAAAAUGAAUCCUACCAAAAAUAUCUCUAAGGUGGUUGUCAAAAAUUUGUAUUUUCUUCAUUAAUCCACAUGCUUGCCAAAAUUAAUAUAAGCAAAUAAUUUAUUAUUUGAAACACUGAUGAUAUUGUCUUGUGUAUUUUAACUUUUUUCAUAUAUAAUAUCUAAUAUACAUAUAAUAAAAUGUGUAUGUCAAAAUCAUAGUUUGCUUAAUUUGCACAAAUUGAACACACGUGUGCAACCAACAAUCGUAACUCAGAUUAGGAAAUAAAAUUCUACCACUAUUUCAAUUACCACCUCAUGCUCCCUUCCAGACACUACCUAUCUCAAAUGUCACCAUAGUCCUAGUUUCAAGUAAAUUUAUUUUACCUAAAUCAUUCUUUAGAUAAAUUGUGGCUUACAGUCAAUAUUCUAUUGUGUCUGACUUCUUCUGCUUAGCAUUUUGUUAGUGAGAUUAAUCUUCAUAGUUGUACACAGAUAAUGUAUUCUAAGUUUUGGUAGUCAUGUUUUACAGCAUUUCAUUGUAUCUAUAUACCCUAUUUUAUUUAUACAUUCAAAUUUGAUGGGAAUAAAGUAUAUUUUGGGGAAGUGAGUGCUAUUAUAAAUAGUAUAGCUAUAAGCUUUUUAGUAAAUAUAAUUUAAUUAACAAGUGUAUUAAUUCAUUUUGUGUAUAUAUCUUCAAAUGCACUUAGGGGGCCACAGGAUACACAUAUGUUCAAUUUUAGAAGAUAACGAAAAAUAUUUUUCCAGAAUCAUUGUUCAAAUGUAUACUCUCACCAGCGGUGUAUAAAAUAUUGGAUGUACAUAUCCCGGACAAAACUUGGAAUUGUCAUUCAUUUUCAUUUUAGCCAUUCUUGUUUGUGAAAAUUUAUAUCAUUUCACUGGUGGUUGAUGGAGUUAAACAUCUUUUAAAAAGAUGCUUAUUGUCCAUUUAAAUAUGCUUUAAUGUGAAAUACUCAUUUCUUCUUGCUGCUUUUUGGAUCAUUUAGCAUUUUCUUGUUCAUUUGUUGUAUAAAAUAAAUCGAUAUAAGUACAGUGACGAUCUUUCAUUAAUUAGUAGCUUGUCUUUUUCUUCCUUAACUGUAAUUCUUGAAGAACAAGUGUUCUCAAUUUUAUUAUAGCCUGUGUUUUCCUAUAACAAAUUGUGCUUAGUGAAACAUGUUUUAAAACUAUCUAUCCCACAUUAUUAUCAUAAAUCUAUUUUUCUAUAGCCCCCUCUAAAAUAUUUAUUGUUUUAAUUUUAUAAUUAUAUGUGCAAUCAUUUUGAAUAUAAUCAAUAAUAUAACUUAGAAUAUAUGAAAUAAACAUUGAUGGAAAUAAAUUAAAUACAGACAUUCCAUAAUUCUGGUGGUGGGACUUCAACACAUUUUCCUCAACAGCUAAUAUUACCAGUCAAAAUAUCAGUGUGGCUGUAAAAUGUGUGAACAAAACAAUCAUUAAAUUUGACCUAAUAGGCAUUUAUGGAACACUUUGCAUAAUUACAUUCUUUUCAAUUGUUUAUGCAACAUUUACGACAUUGACUUAUAAAGAAAAUGACCAAUUUCAAAAUAUUAAAAUCCUUUGUGUUUUUUCAGAACUUAAACAAAAAUCGGAUUUAAGCUAAAAAUAAACAAGUAGAUAACCAGAAAAAAAUCCAAUUUGCAGAGUAAAAUGUAUACACUGCUAAAUAAUUAUAAAGUUAAAUAACCAUAUACAAAUUUUAAAAAUAUUUGAACAUAAUGAUAAUAUGGCAGCCACGGCAUAUUCUCUCUUGUAUGAUGCAGCUAUCAUAAUACUUAGAAAUAAUUUGAUAGCCUUAAACAUAUAUACUAGAGAAGAAAAAUCAGAAGAAAAUUAAUGACUUAAUUUUCCAUUUCAAAAAGUUAGAAGAAUAACCGGAAAAUCAAAUCUGAAGGACAAAGAAGAAAUAAUCCAACCUAGAACAAGAGUCAAUGAAAUAGAAAACAAACAUAAAAUAGAGCAAAUCAAGAAAGCUAACCAUAGUCCGUCUAAAAAGAUUUAUUAAAUUAAUAAAUUUAUAGCAAGAUGAUAGAGACUAAAUAGAGAUGUUUCCAAAAUCAGAUGUUUCCAAUUCUUCCAAAAAAGAAUAAUACCAAACAAGAGUAUCAUCCCAAAUCUUCCUGACAAACUUAAAGUAACAAGUGAACAUUGUGAGCAACUAAACAUUACAUUUGAUAGUUUGAAUAAAGUAGAUUAAUUCUCCAAAUAAUUACCCUACUGAAGACUACUGGAGAAGAAAUAUAAGACAUGAAGGCUCUGAUAUCAUUAAAAUAUUAUAAAGACAUUUUUUAAAAACCUUUCAAUACAGAAAGACCAAAGAUAUGAUGGACCCAGUGGUGAAUUUUUCUUAAACAUGUUUUCCUUUAAGAAAUUAAGGAACAAAUAAAGUUAAUCUUACACAAGUCAUUUUAGGGAGUAGAAAAUGAGUGGAAAUUUACACUUGGAGACUACUGAAUCCCUGCUUCUAUAACUGUGACUGAAACUUGGCCACGUAAUUAAUAUCAAAACAUUUCUCCUAUUUUUGAAAAAUUGACUUAAAAUUAUAUCUCACAUAAUUGUAAUUUUGACUACAACUCUAACUAAAUUAUCUUUGUUAUUCCCAUUAUUAUUCUCAUUUCUUUUUUAAUUGAUCACAGUUUUGUUUUAUUUUAUAUUUGUUUCUAAAGCAACAACAUACAUAAAAGCAACAAGGAAAUUAUAACUAUUUUGAGAGUGUCUGAAAUCACUCGGGUGAUUUUCAAGAAUGAAUACUUUAGUCUGGAAAAGAAGUAAGAAAACCUAAACUUGCAAAGGACAUUGCUUGCAGGGCACUCUAACAACCAAAAACCGUGGUGUAGAAGUUCACCUGCCCAGAAUGUAAUACUAGUCCCUACUCAACUUCCAGAUACUCAGUUUCGAUCUAUAAAAUGUAAGAAAUGGUAUUGCAUUCCUCAAAGAAUUGUUUUUGAAGAAUUAUGAGAUGAUUAUAAAUUCCUCAGAACAGUGCAUGACUUUGGUAUGCGCUUAGUAUCAGACAUUAUUUAUUAUUGAUAACUCAUGAGUGAAUGAUAAGACAGGGUGUAAAAAGAGGUAGUUUUAAGUGCAGGGUAAGUGUAUGUGCAAACAGCUGCAGAAAGAUCUCUUUAUGAAGGGCAAUGUGGGAGAGUUCAUCCAUUUAAGGAGUUCUAGGUGUGGUUUCUGUGGAAUAUAGAUUGCUUACAAGUGAGGCUUUGAAAGCUUGGGCAAUGACUGGCUUUAGGGACAAAAGACUAUCUUAUUUUUGUAAGCAAUGUAUUGAGGGUAAUGUCCUGUGUGAGUCUGAGUACCUCUACCAUGUAGCCUUGUAGGGUAGCUUAAGGACUAUGAGACUGAGGAAGGUCAAUGCUGAGUGAACAUUCAUGACAUGGGACAAAGAGAACAAGAAGAUGCCUUAAGACUGGAUCCUUUAUGAAUAUUUGUUUUUCUGUUUCUUCCACUUUUUUAUAAAGAUGGAAUGGAAGGAUUGACCUGAAUUCCUCCAUUUGAGAAAGAAUAACACUGAUCUUGCAAAAUAAUUGUAUAGAGAUACAUAACAAGAUGACAAGUUUAUACACAAAAUUGCAAAAAAGCUGCAGCUUCUUCAGUUUCUAUGUUAAGCCUCUUGAGCUUCAAGGCACCAGGGGUUGUGGGAGAACAUUUAACUUACCAACGAACUUACUCUAGUCUCUGGGUUUUAAAACAAUCUCUAUUUCUCUGGUCUAUGAGCCUGUCUCCUUUGGAGAACUUCUUGUUUUUAUUCUGUUUCUGGUUUGUUUUGUUUGGGUUUUAAGGUGCGUGUAAAUAAUAGGAGGCUUGCCUGGUUUUGUUUGUACCUAGAGAGUAAUGUUAAUAUUUCAACACUGGUCUUUGCUUUAUCUUCUGUGCAGUGAUGACUCCCUACAGUGAGAUGAAUAGUCUGGCCAGGUCUGUAGAAUGAAUACCUGGAAAAGAAGAAAAGCGCAUGAACAUUUUUUUAUUGAUGUAUUUUUCUUGUUUUGAAUAUGAGCAAGAGGAUUUUAAGGGCAAACAGAGUGCCAGGAAUUCCCUACAAAGUUUCCAUCAGGAAUUUAAUUCUUUGAAGGAAAAAGAGCACUGAUGGAAGGAGAAUCCUUACUGAAAAAAAUUCAGUGGCACAUAUUGAAAAAAAAUAAUAAGCAUGUAAGGGAGCAUAUUGGCUAUGGCUGUUUGAUACCUUGGCCCAAAGCAAGAGGACAAGAUAUUUAUAUUUCAUUCAUCUUCAUUUGCUUUAAAUUGAGGUCCAAUUUACAAUAUGUAAAAUUAAUUAUUAAUUAUUUUAACACAUAAAAUUAAGUGUCAUUUGGUUCAUUCACAAGAUUGUGGAGCGUCUAUCUGCUUCCAAGACAGUCUCAUCACCCCAAAACGUUUUGAAAGUGGGCAAACUCCUACUCUUAAGGAUUGUUGUUUGCAGGCCAGGCACAAUGCCUCACACCUGCAAUCCCAGCAGUGUGAAUGGCUGAAGCAGGAGGACGCUUGAGCCCAGGAGUCUGAGACCAGCCUGGGCGACAUAACAAGACCCCAUCUCAAAAAGAAGAAGAAAAAAAAACUAUAAAAAGGAUUCCUGUUUGCUAAUGGGAUCGCACUUUUUGGUUCUGAUUAUGACAGUGGCAUAAUUGAAGUCGCUUUUUAUCUGACCAAUGUUAGCAGCGAAGAGCACAGUGUACUCGCCACUCUCCUCAUUCACUCUUCAGGCCGCAUAGUCUCACAUUCCUUUGGGAAAGUUGUUCUCAUUACCGCCAUCUUGACACUGUCUGUUCUGUGCAAGCAAAACUGUAAAUGUCUUUAGAGUAAUUUGUAAUCUAGAAAAUAAAAUGAAUUAUUGGUCUUCCAGCUUUGUCUACUGUUUAUUGAGUUUAUUUUAAUACCUCUUCUCUGCUUCCAUUAUACCUCUGCUUGAACCUUAAGGCUCCUACGUAUUAGGUCACCAAUUUUAUACAUAUACUAUGUAUUAGGUCACCACUUUUGUACACUUUUAUAUACAGCAUUUAGUCUCAUGCUUUGUAUACUAAAGAGAACAGUACACAUAAAUACGA